rnacentral:lncRNA from 1 species
CCGCGAUUUUCGGUGAAAUUCGGAAUAAAUGGAAUGAAACGUUAUGGCCCAAUCAUGCAGCCUGGUUCAGAAAUUGCCGACUUUCAUUUGGUCCACGACUCCAAUUCCUCUGUGUUAAGACAAGAAGAACACUCUGGAACCUGGAACCAACCUGGAACACUGGAACACUCCAAUAAAAAAAAAAAAACUAUGAGGUUGUUGUGAGGUUAAUUCUUUCUUCCUUUUCGGAAUUUUCUUAGGUCUCCUCUCUUUGUCUUUGACGUCUUUCGUCAUAUUAGUGAUUAGAUAUUAGAAUGUGAUCAUUCCUGUCUCAGUGAAUAAGUUUUAUUAGUUGUACGUAUUACACACGCUUUUUUUGCCCCCGCGAAAUUAACUUGAGCUCACUGAGACAGGAAUUGAAAUCCUCACGGAAUCUUGCCCCAAGCACCCUGAUGACGUGGAGAAAAUAGUUCAGUCAAUUGAUAGUAUCCAAUCAAUAGCACCGGAACCAGAAGGAAUUUUACAUUGAGCAGAAAUAUAUUCUAUUGCUAUCAUUAAGUCAUAAAAACAGGGCUGCAGUUCUUGGCCUAUCAACUUCACAGAAUGGACCAAUACCUAAAGUAUGCUCGAAAGUUCAAUAGAGGAUUAGAAAUUUUAAUUGGCUCUCCACAGCAAUUUAGAAUAGCGUUGACACUCUUUGUAGUAGCCUCAGGGAUGACUUAUGCUGUCAAAGAGACUAUGAAAGAAUUGGAAAGAAAAUACCAAAAAAUGAAAGAGGAUGACCUUGCAGUAUUGGAAGCGGUUAAACUUGACAGAGCUGCGGGACGUAAAGUUUUUAUAGAUAUUGUUAGAUAGAAAAAUUCCAGAAAAAGACCUAGUUCUUUUUUGUAAUAUAUUAUAUUAAUUUAGUCUGGUUCUGUUUGUAAGUGUAAAUAAAAACUUAAACUUCAUUUUUUAAUUUUUUUUUUUUUUUUUUUUUUUUUUUAAGUUGCUCAAGUGUAUACAGAUAAUCUAACACAAAUUGUUUGGCCCAAGUAUACACAGAAAUACACUGAACCAAAUUUUUUUGAUAAGAUUGCCGAAAAUACUACUUUCAACAUAAACUACUCGUGUAUCUUUGCAGAAUCUCAUAACAAACUAUUUAUUUUGCCAAAUUAAAAUCAAAUAAGUCACAUACAGAUCAAAUUAUAUGUUCAGAACUGUACUCAGUUCCUUUUUUAAUGAAAAAUUAAAGAAUUAUUACAUCAUAUUUUAGGAAUACAUUGUUAUGAAAGGAGAGGGUUGAGAAAAUAAAUUAAUUACAAUCCAAUGAGACAAAGUGCUAAGAUUUCGAAAAAUGCAUCAUAACAACUUGAAUGCGAAUCAUCAAUGAUUCUUGACAAAAGGACCUUAUCUCAGUUGAUGGUCAGAGAUUCUCCGUAGGUCAAUUGGACUAGGUUUAACAAACAAAACCACCAGAUUGCCAUCUGGAAAAAAUGAAGUAAGCAUAAUGUUAAAUGCAAGAAUAGUCGCAAAUUUUCUCGCGUCAAAAAUACGAAAUCUUGAAAACUAUUUUGACCUUAAACGGUCUUUAAACUUUAAUCAUAUCAUAACAUCAAUUUUUAAGGUGAGAAAUGAAACUUCAAAUAUCUAUUGAUUAGUUCAAUUCUUGGUGCAUUUCUGCUAAACACCUUCUAAUUUUGUAUCAUAAAAUGGUGUUUUGAUGGUUGACAGCUGUCUGAUUAUGGAAAUGACAGCUUAUAGAUCAAAAUACACAGAGGCAAAAAAUAAUCAAGUCUGUCCAAACGCAAAGUGUCUACAUCAAAUAUUGACAAAGCUAUUACAUUUUCGGCAAAUAUCUUUGUAUGACCGUCAUCCUAUGAAUGCCUUAUUUCUUACAUUCUAGUUUCGUCUGAUGCUAACAUUGAGCCACUGUAGAAAAAGUGUACAGUACUGAUUUAAAAAACCAAGCAGACAGAAGUCAAGGUUUGUCCUGCCCCAUAUGAUGAUUUCUAUCGCUCAGUUUUUGGACAGACAAACUGUCAAUUAGUAUAGAUUGAAAAAACUCCAGCGAACGAUUCCUCCAGUAAUAUUAGACGUGGAAACUUGGUGUUGGUACAGAUCUCACUAUUCUGAUCUAGUACAUAAAUCUAAGUCCAAAACACUAUUCUGUGACUAGCAAAACUGACGUAUUAAUGAUCAUAAAUCUAUCUCUUGACGUUAAGAUACAAAUGGAUUAGCUCAAUGUUGCUAACUGUUUUUAUCACGAAAACGACUUCCGCCUUUAAAACGAAUAGGGCGUAUUUCUAUCAAAUGGAACUAUGAGCAUUAUAACGUGAGCCCUGUUAUGCUCUGCUCAUAUUCUUAUGGGUCUCAGGGCUCAUGUCUUAAUGCACAUCGUUCCGUUUGACAGAAAUACGUCCGCUAGUACUCAUUAGAGAGACACCUUCACAGAUUAUAGAAGUGCAGAUUACAGUAAAAUGUUCUUCAAUGCAAUUUUGACAAUGAAGAUAACUAGAGCAUCAAAUGUAAAGUUUUUUGGGUGAACAUGGUUUGAUAGGAAAAUGACUAGCUUCAAAUUUUUAAAAGCUUCAAUGGGCUCUUAUUUAAAGGUCUAACUUAAUGCAAAUUUCAUGACUAAAAUUUUAAGAAUUGCCAUGCUGUUGAAACCUGAGAUGAAGUUGAAAGGAAAUAAUAAUAAUUCAAGAGUUUGCCAAUAAGUAAGUUUUUAUAUUUUCUUUCUUCGCAAAUUUUAUAGAUGGAUGAAAAUUGUAAAAAGUCUUACGUUGGCCAUACGCUCAGUUUGAAAACAAGCUUUGUUUUUAAAAUUUGACUCACUGGUCGUUGAGUUCUGCACCCAUUUCCUCUCAUCACGGGUCCAAUUUUUCUACUUCUGAGGCACUACAAAGAUGGCAUUAUCAGGUCACAAAAUUAUGACAACCAUUUAAAGGAUGCCAAAGGACUGGUUGACUACGUACCACACGGUAAACACAGAAGAGCACUGAUAGGUACUAGAAAAGCUCAGAACUUGGAUCAAAUGGAAACGGCCUGGACUCCUGAGCCAAAAAGUUCUGCUCCUACAUGACAAAUCUGCAGCCUUUACUCAGCUAGAGUCCCUCAAGAAAUGUUGGGAACUUUCAUUUCAUAGAUUUUUCCACAAUAGUAUUAUUUUUGCAGAUGGCUCCAGGUGAUUUUUACCUUUUCCUUCGACACAAAUCUGAUCUCGGUGGUCACCGUAUUGGUAGUGACAAGAAGGGGAUGAAACACAUCAAUAGUUGGCUCCAAAAUCAGACACUACAGUUCUUUGCUAAUAGGAUGAAAAACUGGGUACCGAAACUGUGAAAAGUGCGUGGAAAAAGGAGGUGCUUCAAGCACUUUUCAUUCAAAUUUCCUUUUGCUGAGAGCAUUACAGAUGCCUCGAGAUGAAAUGCGCAGAACGUGCUUAGAAAUCGGUGAAAGGAGAUGGGUGCAGAAAAAGUUGGAUAUCUUAGCAACUCGAUAGUCAAAUUUAAAAAACUAUGGCUUGUUUUAAAGCUGAGAGUAUGACCAAUAAAAAACUUGUUACAGUUUUGCUUUACUGAUGAUAUUUGCAAAAAAAAUAGCAAAACUUACUUAUUGGGAGAUCCUCGAAAAAAAGGGGAAAAAUGAAGACAAAGAAUAAUAUUAGGGUGUACAUGCAGUUGACUUCUGCUAU